AUCACUUCUCGGCCUUUUGGCUAAGAUCAAGUGUAGUAUCUGUUCUUAUCAGUUUAAAACUUGUUGGAAAAACACAUCUACCUCAUUACAAAGCUUGAUCAUACCAUUUAUAUCUAAACUCUUGGUUUUACUUCUUAGGGCAGCCCUACAUGCUGAAUUCGCAUUUUCAAGAGCAAGUUGUUGGACUAACA